rnacentral:rRNA from 1 species
AGGUGCUUGCACCUCUUGGUUAGCGGCGGACGGGUGAGUAACACGUGGGCAACCUGCCUGUAAGACUGGGAUAACUUCGGGAAACCGGAGCUAAUACCGGAUAAUCCUUUUCCUCUCAUGAGGAAAAGCUGAAAGUCGGUUUACGCUGACACUUACAGAUGGGCCCGCGGCGCAUUAGCUAGUUGGUGAGGUAACGGCUCACCAAGGCGACGAUGCGUAGCCGACCUGAGAGGGUGAUCGGCCACACUGGGACUGAGACACGGCCCAGACUCCUACGGGAGGCAGCAGUAGGGAAUCUUCCGCAAUGGACGAAAGUCUGACGGAGCAACGCCGCGUGAGCGAUGAAGGCCUUCGGGUCGUAAAGCUCUGUUGUUAGGGAAGAACAAGUAUCGGAGUAACUGCCGGUACCUUGACGGUACCUAACCAGAAAGCCACGGCUAACUACGUGCCAGCAGCCGCGGUAAUACGUAGGUGGCAAGCGUUGUCCGGAAUUAUUGGGCGUAAAGCGCGCGCAGGCGGUCCUUUAAGUCUGAUGUGAAAGCCCACGGCUCAACCGUGGAGGGUCAUUGGAAACUGGGGGACUUGAGUACAGAAGAGGAAAGCGGAAUUCCACGUGUAGCGGUGAAAUGCGUAGAGAUGUGGAGGAACACCAGUGGCGAAGGCGGCUUUCUGGUCUGUAACUGACGCUGAGGCGCG